rnacentral:other from 1 species
GAUAUCCUGAGGCAUUCGACAAGGCUCUUUUAAAUUCAACCUACAAUUUUUAUUCGGGAGACAGCGUUUGAUAACUUAUAUAACAUGCCUAGUAUUACUUGGACGUUAAAACUUUAUCAGUAUGUCACCCACCUAGAUGACUCUAGGGCGUGAAUUUAACGGGUCACCGGUGUUUCGGGGAAAAA